AAUCAUUGGCAAUCAUAAAAGUUUAUACUUCACAAUGCAUAUCUAAAAAAUAUAUUUAUAAUAUUUAUAUUUAUAUAAUUGAAUUUUUUGGUGCAAAUGUUACUCUUGGAACUUAGUGAGUUUACUUCACUUUUAGCGCCAAGUUCAACGGCAGCUCCCAAAUAAGUUUUUGGUGAAUUUCGGGAUUGGAAAUUUAGAUCUACAGCUAUGUUAAAGCUCUGCAGGAGCAGGAUGUGGAGCUGACCGGGAGAUUCCAGAAAAUUAAUUUCAACGUAUGGAUCGAGUAGGCUGUUGGGCUAACUUCUCAGAGAACCGGAUCAUUCCCGGUACAUUAUGCAGGACGCAGAAAAUCAGGAUCGAAAUGGUAUUCGUCGUGAAAUUAUCCAGUGCCGGCUUCGGUGCAAGAUAGCAACGACAGUAGCUCCAACCCCAGUAAAAUUUAAGGAAAACGAAACAACGCAUGGCGAGCAUCGCACGAAUAAAUGAUUUUAUUUACAUGA